rnacentral:misc_RNA from 1 species
CUCCAUCUCCAGUUCUUUUACCUGCCAAAUCCAAAACAAAGUAACAUAAGCGAUUUAGCCAUAAGUUUCUUUUGUGUGCAAAUGUUGGUUAGUAAUCGAUUGUUCAUAUUCUAUAAUGAAUAUGAUUAUCUACUCAAAGUCAAGUCCAAGCAAAGUGCAGGAAUAUAUAACGAGAAUAUGAUCCUUAUCUAUGAAACUUUUGUACUAAAUGGGUUACUCUCAACACUCCACCUAGUCAUGUGCACUCAAAAAUUAUUAUCAUUGCACUGGACUAGAUACCCUGUUAUUACACGCUAAAUGCAAAAUAGCUAAAGUCAUUAUACAUAUAUAUAAUGAUCACAUGGUUUCAAGACAUGUUCAUAAACAUAACAGACACAUUCUAAGCAUUUAAACUAUUGUAAACAUUAAAACAAAUUAUAUUCAUAUCAUUGAAGAUUUAUCAAAACCAAAGAGUCUUUCACCUAUGAAGUAGAGAUGAGAUCAAAAUAACAGAACAAAGCACUCAAAAUCAUAUUAGAACCAUGAAGAGGCGUGCACCCAUGAGUAAGGGCACACACCCAUUAACAAGGUGUGUCCAAUCCUUUUUGGGUUCCUAGCAGCAAGUUUACAUUUUUCAUUGGAUCCUACGCACUAGACCCAAAUAGGGACGCAUGCCUCUUCUCUGGAUCCUACACUAGACUGAACUUCAAAUGCACAUAUCUCCCUCAUCCGAGAUUGAAUUUAGGUGAUCCACAUAUCACUGAAAGUUAAUAUGUCUCAUUUCUAAUGCAGUAAACCUCAAAUCAAAAUUAUAUCUGGAACUCCAGAUAUGGGCAAAAAAAGAGGCAAAUAUCAUAUUUAACAUGGCAACCAAGGGCCUUUUCUAUCUCAACUUUGGAAGCUUGGUUCUCUCUUCUUUAUCACCGGAUUUUGGCCCAUGACCUAUCAUUGGAAAGCUUGAAAUGUCUAUCAUAAGACACUUCAAACCACUAUCAAGAAUUCCAAACAGAUUGGGAGAUAUGACCCAAACAAGCAGGGUUGUUUGUGGUCAUCUAGGUAGGGGUGUGCAAAACCAAAUAACCGAAAUCAUAGAAAAAGUUUGAACCAAACAGUAGAAAUCAAAUAACCAAAAUCAUAGAAAAUAAGAACCAAAUCAAACUGAAUAACUUCCACUUGGUUCAGUUUGGUUUGUCAGUUAGUAGAGAAAGCCAAACUAUGCCAUUUUUGAUCUGUCAUUCCCCUAAACUCUUUUGUUUCUUCCUCACUCCCCAAACCCCAAUUCCUCAGUCUCCAUUCACCCAUUGCCCAAAUUACCCAGUAGCCAAAACAAUGAGAGGAGAAUGGACAGUUAUAAUCCCAGUU